UCUAUAAUAUCCAGUAAUACAGAGAAUUUGCUAAAAACAAAUCAUAACUAAAAGCAAAGAGUAAUUUUUUUUUGCAAAUCCAACUGAUUCCCAAGUAUCCAGAAGGAUUUUAAGAACCACAGAGCUCUUUUUUAAAAGUUAUAUUCUCCAUUCAGACACCAGCUAGUUCAGGACAUCCUAUGGCUCCCAUUUUCAGAAGUCAGAUAUAGUCAGUGCACUUGCUAUGAAAAAAAAGUUGAAGUGAAAAAAUAACCAAUUCCAUCAUACAUGGCUGUUUGCCAGUAUUGUAGAGGACCCAUAGAGUUUAUUUGAUUACUUUUAAAUAAAAGUCAGUCGGUCAAAGAUUGUUAUUUCCCAAAGAUUUAAAGCUUUGUUUGGAAACAGUGUUUGGUUGGCAACUUCUAAACUCUUUAUGUCACCCCUCUGUGGCUAUAUAAAUGGCCUCAUCGUACUGACAUUUUCCUUCCAAAGGCAUAACAAGCCAACUAGUUUCUCUCUACCUCGUUCAGAGCCACCUGCCAUAAAUACUUUGUAUUUGAUUAUUGCUAAGCUGAAUUCCAAGCACCCAAUUCACCCCGGUUUAUAGCCUCAUAACAGUCUGGGUUAUAAAUGAUUAUCAUCUCCCAAAUGGCAGCUACCAGUGCUGUUACUGUAUGCCAUAACUUCUCCUGAGAAAGACAUGGAAGCAGCAUCUGCUGUAGCUUCAGCAUUUCAUUAGGCAGGCUGUUUGCUUUUCUCACAGGGCAAAGACUCAGGCCUGCACCUCCACCUGAUAGAUCAGCCAGACACGGUAGAGGAUUUAAAAGAGAUCAUUUGUGAAAACUGGACAAACUGGAAUGCUCCAGAAGCUUUCUCUGUGCUCCCACUCCAUAAGGGCCAGGUACUCUUCCCUUUAUACCUCACCUGGAAGACUGAGAGACUCUCCUUGCAUUCAGAGCAAAAUAUCCCCUCCUGCUGAAUUCAACAAUCCAACUGGCUGCAAUGUUGACAGGUUGAGUUAAAAAACCAGAACAACCACUUGAGCUACUUUCAGUGACUUUCCCUCCCCUGCAGGAACACAUCCAAGAGCUUCAGUAUAUGCACUUCAUCACAGCAGACAAGCAGCCAACAAAGAAUUAUCUGCCCCACUGACUUUGACACACCCAUUUCUAAUUGUUCUUCUGCUCAGCUUUUGGCGAGGAAGGACGAGGCAAUGUCAGCAAUUCAGCUUUCUGGGGGAGCACAAAGCGUGGCUCUAACAGCACUGUGACGAUGACAGCCAAGAGGCCAUUGUCCACACGGUCGUGGUGGAGCACGGGACCACAGCUGGGAGCCAGAAUGAGUUGGCAAACAUCUUGUUCCAACUUCUGCCGUGCCAUCUGGCUUCCAGAGAGGUGACUGACGUUAAAUGUAUUUUCUCUGUGUUGCCAUCUGGCAGCUGCUUGUACAACAACAGAGUAACAUGCAGAAUUUGGCUGAGACUUAUCCCAAGAAUCACAUCAAGGAUACUUGUAACACAGACUCUGGAAUGGAAAAAAGCUUACAAGGAAAGUUUUGUCAGCUGCGGGCAUUACAGGCACAAUGUUGCAGGAUCCACCACGAGACUCCCUGAAGGAAAUUUGACUCAGAGCAGGAUGGCACCUGAACUGAACAAAAUCUGCUGGCAUCUCCACCUGCAACCUUGUCCAUACUCUCCUUCACCUGUGAGAUGAAGCCCACAGGUAUCUCAUGGGAGCCCUCCUGUUUUAGGAGGGGGCAGGACAGACUCCCCUGCUGGGACUGCUGUGUACAGGUAUUUUUUUCUCUCCCCCAGCCCUGUGUUAUUACUCUCCCUUCCCUCCUCAUCCCUCCCUUCCCUGCUAAUGACCGAGGAACCUGAAUUCCUGAACGGCCUGGCUGCUCCGAGGCUGACACAGAUGGGUUAGCUCAGCUCUCUGCCCCCAUUUUAUUUUAUUGUGCUGAUUUAACUGCACAGCCAAGCCAGGGCUUCCUGCUCAGGUGGUUUGAGAUGGCUGGUGGGGAGCAGGUCUGUCAUGGGCUGUGUUUGCACAGCAGGAUUACUGGGGAUGCCUGCUCUAGAGCAGCCUCAAACACUGAGCCAAAGCCGGUUUGCUUCUAAGCCAUUUAACCCUUUAAAAGGAGGAAAAAGAAAUAAAGGAGGUCAACCAUGAAAGAGAAUUUAAUAAUUGCAGCUCCUACAUAAAUAUUUGCUGCUUCUCCCAAGUGCAUGAUUCCUCUAGUUCCUCUUGUUAAAGAGGACUACCCGUGGGACUCUUGGUUUAAAAAUAUUUCUGUUUCCAAAGCCUUUUAAGGACCUUAUUUAGUCCAUAUUGCCGUGGGGGAGGGACAGGGAGAGGGGCCAGAAGGGGCCUGGAUAUGCAGAAGCAGCUCUCUGACAUGUCCUCCCUGGGUCAGGGUGCAAAGGAGACCCUCUCCCUCCAAAAUGUUGUUCCUGUUUCCUUCCCCUGCUUGCCCCCUGGCCAGAGCAGCAAGCCAAGGUCUGUAGAUUUUUUUUCCCCCCUUCCCAAGCAGCUUUCUCCUGGCACAGCAGCCCGGUGCCAUCCUCAGGGCAGCAGAAUUCACAGAGGAGCACAGUGAAAUGGCAUCCUGGUAACUGGGAGAGUAUUUCCAGCAGGCCUGCUGCAGCAAGGGCGGGCUGAAGGACAGAGCUGGGGCUGCAGUUCUUGCCUUGUGUCUGAACCGGGCUGUGGCAGCCAAAACAGGAGGGGGCAGACAGGGCUUCGGGCAGGAAGCUGCUUUAGGGGAAUGUGCAUUAAUCCCCCUCCUUAGGCCCUCUUUAAAUGAUCACAGGCUGGAGGGUAUUUUAAAAGAAGCUAAAAGGAAGACACUUCACUGCUUUAUCCCCAUGGCUUUGGAUUUUCAAAGGAAUUUGAGUAUCCAGAAAGACUUUUUUCACUCUGCACAGACCAUGAAUUCUCAUCAGUCUCCUUUUCUUGUGCCAUCUUUUCAUCUCCCUGAUCCCUUUCUCCCCAUCGCUGAGCCACAUCUGGCUUUCCUGAAAGCAAAGCCUCAAAAAAAACCCAACAACAACAACAAAAAAAACCCCAUAUAUUUGAAGCACUCCAUUUCCCUGUGUGUGUUCCAGCCCUCAUUUUCCCUCGGAGAGGUUUGGACGUGCGAGGACAGUCCUCUGCAGCAGAAACCUUGGAGUAAAAGUGUUAAUUGCUGAAGGUUUGGGGUUUGGUUUUGCUAACCACAAGUGCAAGUGGAAACAGCCUCAUAGGAUACAGUUGCUCAGAGAGCUGGCAGGUGUUAAAUAGCACACCCAGAGCUCCAGCAUCCUCCGGCUGCUCGGCUUUGUGGUGGUUUCUGACUAAUAGGCGCCAGCUUCACUUCUACCUUUGAGGAGCCUUGGCAGAUGCUCACUGAGCCACCCCCAGGGCUCCAGACAGGCUAAGUUAGAGCCUUGUUCAAGCCCCGGGAGGCACAGGCCAUCCCACAAACUGAUGUAUCAAAUGGGGCUUCUCCGACUUCUUAAAAGCAGCUUUCCACUCUCUUGCAUGUGGGCAGAAACCCCAAAUCCUUAUGACAUCUAUGUGAAACUGCCUCUUUCAUGUCAAGCAGUUUCCAUCCAAGACAUUGAACUGAAAUUUUAUUUUGAUGUACCAAGUGUGCCUGAGGUUAGUUUUUUAUGGGGCAGGACAUGGCUGCACAAAGCCAUAAAGAAGCAAAACUAUCUUUUGGGGGUUGUUUCCCCUUUCAGAAAACAGAUCUUUCCUAAGGACUCUAAACAUGUCCUUUCUCCCCUCAGCCUCCUGAUCUUUUUCAGGGGUGGGACCAAAAGUCUUUGUGAAAUGCAGCCUUGCUGUUUCUCUAGCUCCAGGAGCCCCAGUGGGACAAUUGCACCUGUGGUGGUUGGGAGAGCCAAAGCCUGGCCCUGCUCUGGUUUUAUGUUCAUGAUCCAUGUCUGCAACAGGGCUUUUUAAAUACAAGAAGUUCAAGAUCAGGAAUGUUCCAAGUUUCCCUUUUAACUUCUAAAAAAAUUUAAAAAAAUAUGGGAUGGCUGGGAGGUUCCUGGUUUCCCCAAAUAUCAAGCAUUUUGCUUAUACAAAGAGGGUUUGGAAUGAGAGUUUUUUCUACAGCCCUUGUGCUUCCAGCUGGAAGGCCAAGUGUGGUGUGUGCCAAGAGCCCAAACUGAAAGGGUUGCCAUAAGCUGAAGAUGGAUUUUCAGGUGGGUUCAGGGAGAGCCAGCCCUCCCAGCCCUGGUGCUGACAGCACUACUCCAAGCACAAUCAAACCAGCAUUCCAUCCAGGACAGCUCUGUCAGGCACAGA